UCUACCUUCUUCAUUACCAAACUAUAUUGUUUUACUCAUGCAGGUUGACCUUAUAGAAGCACAGGAAACUGCACCUUUAUGAUGUCUACAUCUGGAUGCAGAGAAUGAAGUUCUUCAACUUCAACAGACAUUAUUCUCUAUGAAAGCAAUACAAAAGCAAUGUGAAACGCUACAGAAGAAUAAGAAGCAGCUGAAACAAGAAGUAGUAAACCUCAAAAGUUAUAUGGAGAGAAAUAUGUUAGAACGUGGUGAAGCUGAACAGUAUAAACUGUUGACUGAAGAAAAAGCAAGGAGGGAAAUAGCAGAAAAAUUAAACGAAGCCGUUCUCACCUUGCAGAAACAAGCAGCAGUAUCUCAAGAACAGUUAGCACAGUUAAAGGAGGAUAAUACUACUUCAAUAAAAACUCAGAUGGAACUCACAAUCAAAGAUAUGGAAUCUGAAAUCUCCAGAAUAAAAACUUCGCAAGCCAACUUUAAUAAAACCGAAUUGGAAAGAUAUAAGGAACUCUACCUAGAAGAAGUAAAAGUUAGAGAAUCCUUGUCAAAUGAACUGAAUAGAACUAAUGAGAUGAUAGCAGAGGUCAGUACGCAACUUACUGUGGAGAAAAAGCAGACCAGAUCUCUAUUCACUGGCACUACGAGGCCAGUCCUAGAGUCAUCUUGUGUUAGAAAUCUUAAUGAUAGUGAAGGUCUCAACAGAAAACAUAUUCCAAGAAAAAAGAGGUCUGCUUUUAAGAGCAUGGAGAGCUACUUGUUGAAGAUGCAGUGGAAGUUGCAAAAUGAUAUAACUACAGAAGUAGCAGGUGUCCACUAACCAUGCCUCCACCAAACCAAAAAGCCUUCAAUAUCCAGACAAAACUGGGAUAGAUGUCCCUCUUGAGUUCCAAUAGUGCCUUGUUUUACACCUGUCAGAGUAUCUAUGACUUGCUGCUACUAAAUGUGAACUGGAUCUUAUAUAGCUUCUCCUCUAGAAUCUACACACAAGGAAAAUCUGAAUCAAGAUCCAGUGUUGGAAGCAUCAAAAGAAUAUGCACAGAUUUUAAGCAGAAAAUACAUGGUCUGAAAGAUAAGGCAAUUUUAUUUCUGGGCUUUUCACAUGAUAUUUUGUUUCCCAUUGAGUAUAUGAUGUGAACAUUUUUACUAAAGGGAAAUAUUCUGUAUUAUACAUGUCUGAUGAAAAUUUAUAUAGUAUUUUAAAUAAUGUUUCUUGACCUCUUCAGCUAACUUUUAAGUGGAUUUUGCAAAUGAAAACCAGUAUUAUUGAGUUUUACAUACUCGAACUCCUCAAAUGUUAACUGUUUAAACAGCCAAAUAAUGAAGUUGCCAUUAAUAAUUUAGUGGAAUCAACUGAUGGCUUGUUUGUAUUUUAUAAUUUUUAUCUUUAUAUAUAGUGAUAGAUUUAAGUUUAGACAGACAUCAUUUUGGUAUACUGGUACUGUGGUCAUUGUCAAUGUUUGGAUAUAUUACAAUUGUUAUAGUGCAAUCAAACUUAUAUAAUUUUAAUUUUAAGCACUGAUUUAUAUAGCUCUUUCCUUGUGGAAAAAUAAGGUUUGCCUAAGGCUUUUCACUUUUUCUUUUUUUUUUCUUUUUGAGACAGAGUCUUGCUCUGUCGCCCAGA